GCCUGGGUGGCUCAGUCAGUUAAGCGUCCGACUUCAGCUCAGGUCAUGAUCUCACAGUUCAUGGGUUCAAGCCCCAUGUCGGGCU
rnacentral:tRNA from 1 species